rnacentral:rRNA from 1 species
UACGUAGGGGCCUAGCGUUGUCCGGAUCUACUGGGCGUAAAGAGCGCGUAGGCGGUCCGUUAAGUGUAGAGUGAAAGCUCCGGGCUCAACUCGGAAAUUGCUCUGCAUACUGGCGGACUCGAGGGUGGCAGAGGUUUGUGGAAUUCCUGGUGUAGCGGUGAAAUGCGUAGAUAUCAGGAGGAACACCCAUGGCGAAGGCAGCAAACUGGGCCACAUCUGACGCUGAGGCGCGAAAGCGUGGGUAGCAAACAGG